rnacentral:rRNA from 1 species
CUGUGUCCUUCGACGCCGGUUCACCGCCUGUCGGUGCCAACUGGCGUUUUGCGGGACGUCCUGUCGGUGGUGUGUCAGGAAUCUUAGUUGUGCUAUGCUUUGCUUAGUGCAGCUCUGGUUUCGGGCCACUUUCAUAAUCCCGCCGCGGUGCUCUUAAUCGAGUGUCGAGGCGGGCCGGCACGUUUACUUUGAACAAAUUAGAGUGCUUCAAGCAGGCUUGUCACGCCUGUAUACUGUGUGCAUGGAAUAAUGGAAUAGGACCUCGGUUCUAUUUUGUUGGUUUCCGGAAUCUGAGGUAAUGAUCAAUGGGGACAGGCGGGGGCAUUCGUAUUGCGACGUUAGAGGUGAAAUUCUUGGAUCGUCGCAAGACGGACCGAAGCGAAAGCAUUUGCCAAGUAUGUUCCCGUCGAUCAAGAACGAAAGUUAGAGGUUCGAAGGCGAUCAGAUACCGCCCUAGUUCUAACCAUAAACAAUGCCUGCCAGCGAUCCGCCGGCGUCCCUCCGAUGACCCGGCGGGCAGCUUCCGGGAAACCAGAGCUUUUGGGUUCCGGGGGAAGUAUGGUUGCAAAGCUGAAACUUAAAGGAAUUGACGGAAGGGCACCACCAGGAGUGGAGCCUGCGGCUUAAUUUGACUCAACACGGGAAAACUCACCAGGCCCGGACACCGGAAGGAUUGACAGAUUGAUAGCUCUUUCUUGAUUCGGUGGGUGGUGGUGCAUGGCCGUUCUUAGUUGGUGGA